GUAGUCAUAUCUUGUCUCAAAGAUUAAGCCAUGCAUGUCUAAGUAUAAGCAAUCUAUACGGUGAAACUGCGAAUGGCUCAUUAAAUCAGUUAUCGUUUAUUUGAUAGUACCUUACUACUUGGAUAACCGUGGUAAUUCUAGAGCUAAUACAUGCUAAAAACCCCAACUUCGGAAGGGGUGUAUUUAUUAGAUAAAAAACCAACGCCCUUCGGGGCUCCUUGGUGAUUCAUAAUAACUAAACGAAUCGCAUGGCCUUGCGCCGGCGAUGGUUCAUUCAAAUUUCUGCCCUAUCAACUUUCGAUGGUAGGAUAGUGGCCUACCAUGGUAUCAACGGGUAACGGGGAAUUAGGGUUCUAUUCCGGAGAGGGAGCCUGAGAAACGGCUACCACAUCCAAGGAAGGCAGCAGGCGCGCAAAUUACCCAAUCCCGACACGGGGAGGUAGUGACAAUAAAUACUGAUACAGGGCUCUUACGGGUCUUGUAAUUGGAAUGAGUACAAUUUAAAUCCCUUAACGAGGAACAAUUGGAGGGCAAGUCUGGUGCCAGCAGCCGCGGUAAUUCCAGCUCCAAUAGCGUAUAUUAAAGUUGUUGCAGUUAAAAAGCUCGUAGUUGAACCUUGGGCCUGGCUGGCCGGUCCGCCUCACCGCGUGCACUGGUCCGGCCGGGCCUUUCCUUCUGGGGAUCCGCAUGCCCUUUACUGGGUGUGCUGGGGAACCAGGACUUUUACUUUGAAAAAAUUAGAGUGUUCAAAGCAGGCCUUUGCUCGAAUACAUUAGCAUGGAAUAAUAGAAUAGGACGUGCGGUUCUAUUUUGUUGGUUUCUAGGACCGCCGUAAUGAUUAAUAGGGAUAGUCGGGGGCAUCAGUAUUCAAUUGUCAGAGGUGAAAUUCUUGGAUUUAUUGAAGACUAACUACUGCGAAAGCAUUUGCCAAGGAUGUUUUCAUUAAUCAGUGAACGAAAGUUAGGGGAUCGAAGACGAUCAGAUACCGUCGUAGUCUUAACCAUAAACUAUGCCGACUAGGGAUCGGGCGAUGUUACUAUUCUGACUCGCUCGGCACCUUACCGAGAAAUCAAAGUCUUGGGUUCUGGGGAGUUGG
rnacentral:rRNA from 1 species